UACGAAGGGGGCUAGCGUUGUUCGGAUUUACUGGGCGUAAAGCGCACGUAGGCGGAUUGUUAAGUCGGGGGUGAAAUCCUGGAGCUCAACUUCAGAAUUGCCUUCGAUACUGGCUUUCUAGAAGCUGGAAGAGGUUAGUGGAAUUCCCAGUGUAGAGGUGAAAUUCGUAGAUAUUGGGAAGAACACCAGUGGCGAAGGCGGCUAACUGGUCCAGAUCUGACGCUGAGGUGCGAAAGCGUGGGGAGCAAACAGG
rnacentral:rRNA from 1 species